rfam:Felis catus isolate Cinnamon breed Abyssinian chromosome B3, whole genome shotgun sequence.
GCCUGGGUGGCUCAGUCAAUUAAGCGUCCGACUUCAGAUCAGGUCAUGAUCUAGCAGUUUGUGGGUUCAAGCCCCACGUCGGGCU